rnacentral:rRNA from 1 species
GACAGAGGUCCCAAGCGUUAGGCGGAAUCACUGGGCUUAAAGCGUGUGUAGGCGGAUUUGUAAGUACCUUGUGAAAUCCCACGGCUCAACCGUGGAACUGCUUGGUAUACUGCUUAUCUUGGGCCAUCUAGGGGCGAGCGGAACAAACGGUGGAGCGGUGAAAUGCGUAGAUAUCGUUUGGAACGCCAAUGGUGAAAACAGCUCGCUGGGGAUGUGCCGACGCUGAGAUACGAAAGCCAGGGGAGCGAACGGGAUUAGAUACCCCGGUAGUCCUGGCUGUAAACGAUGUCGACUAGAUCGUAGUGGCUCUGACGCUAUUACGGUCGAAGCAAAAGUGCUAAGUCGACCGCCUGGGAAGUACGGUCGCAAGGCUAAA